CAGCCGCCGCGGUAAUACGAAGGGUGCAAGCGUUACUCGGAAUUACUGGGCGUAAAGCGUGCGUAGGUGGUGGUUUAAGUCCGUUGUGAAAGCCCUGGGCUCAACCUGGGAAUUGCAGUGGAUACUGGGUCACUAGAGUGUGGUAGAGGAUAGUGGAAUUUCCGGUGUAGCAGUGAAAUGCGUAGAGAUCGGAAGGAACAUCUGUGGCGAAGGCGACUAUCUGGGCCAACACUGACACUGAGGCACGAAAGCGUGGGGAGCAAACAGGAUUAGAUACCCGGGUAGUCCCUGUCUCUUAUAA
rnacentral:rRNA from 1 species